UUGUCUUUCUUAAUAUUUUCGAGCUCUUCCUUUUGGUCUGCAGUUUUUCUACGUUUGUUCUCAAAUUUAAGCAACAUGUCUUUGUGAGUCUGAGACAGACUCAUCUCACUAGCCUCAAGCUGCAGUCUUAGUGACUCAUCUUCACUAUCGCUUCCAGAAGGUAAGUCAUUUAAUGAUUCCCGUGACAUUUUUUUUUAAAGGUUUAAAGCACGGUGUCACAGGUUAAACACGUAUUAGCUUUGUCUAAAACAACUGGCUGUUUCUGAAAAUGCUCCAAUGUAAACUGUUAAAGGCGCUCCCCUAUUUAAGGACUCGGAGACCGUGAAGUCGACCGUGACGUCAGAAUGGUCCUUUGAAGGUCAAAGGAUCAAAGAGCGAGGGGGCGUUCCAAGAUGGCCGAGUACAUGGACAGGGCGGACGCUUGCUGACUGGCGACGAUGGCAGAGAACGAAAGGCCUGAAACGAAGGAUGUCAGAACUGCAACAGAGAGGCUCGCACACGCCACUCAUUAAAAGCAGCUGCAGGCUCAGAGGGCUCAGCGAGAUGAGGUGGGCGGGCUCAAAGGGGCAAAGUGGGCGGGAAGAUCCAGAAGAUCCCUAUCCAGCUGUGAAUCAUGGGAGGAGGGAUCAGCUUGGUUUGGGGUGACCUGCGGCACCAGGUAUUACCCCGUCCUCCUCUGCUACAAACAUUUUCAGCGAGUGUAUGAACACACUGCAGGGCUGACAUCAUCUAUCUACAUUUACACCUGAAACAGGUCUGUGUGUGAUAUUGUUGCAUAUUUGUCUGUUUGAUACAUGUUUUAGAUUAUAAAACUUGUUUGCAUUUUAGACAAAGAUAAUAAAGAUAUUACAAAAAGUAUUGUUUAAAUUAUGGUUUUAUUUAUAAAGGGAAAAACACUCUCCAAACCUGCCCUAUCUGCAAAAGUAACUGCCUCCUAAACCUAAUAACUGGUUGUUCCACCCUCUGCAGCAGGAACUGCAAUCACGUGUUUGUGAUCCUUCAUCCAGACCAUCAACCUUUCUGACUGAAGGUCAUUUCUGCCAGCAGGACUUUCAUCAGCAACACAACACUUAAUGCUAAACACAAAGUUACAAAACUCAGUUCACAACUACGCAGUCUGAUCUAAAAAAAUUUUGGUGAGCCCAGACGGCACAGCGGUUACCCUCUAACCUGAAACCGAUUUUUAAAAAGUCUCUUCUCUUUUCUUUCCUUCUGUAAUCCAUGUAUGAAGCAAACACCUGUCAGUAUUUCCUUCAACAGGACACAGUAAUGUGCAAAAGUGUUGAGCUGCCCUUCACAUUUGAUUCAAAGAAUGUUUAAAAAUAUGUUUUUGAUAUUAUAUAAUAUUUCAAUUUUAAUAUUAUAUACCUCCCAAUCAAGGGUUCAUACGCCUUUUUCUGGCUCGAAUUCAAGCACUUUUUAAGCACUUUCAAGGUCCAUGUUCAAGCUUUCCCAGCACAUGGCCGAAAAAACAAACAAACAGAAAGCAUGUUUCACUUUGCAUCACCUCACUAAGACCAUGUGAAAAUGAAAACGAAUCAUCUUAGGUUGACUUAAAAAGCAUUUCUUCCCCCACAAAACAGGAAAACUGCACCAAACAUCACAUAUUUCAAGCACCCGUAUGAACCCUGUUUACAGAUAAAUACAGAUUCAAUAAAACUGCACAUUAAUCCCAUAAACAUGAAGCUCUGACCUCCUACGGACUGAAGGUUGAUCAGUGACUAAAUCAGUGGAUCCUAACAGUGAGUCCGGAACACACUUCCUAGUUGCCCUGCACAGUGCCUCAGGACUCCACUGCUGAUGUUGUCAGGGCCAAGAUGAUGAAAAGCUGUGGGAAUUCUCUGAGGAGGUAGUAGGGGCACAGGGAAACAACCAGAAGCUCGAUGUCUCAGGUGCACAGCUUCUCCCUCACGGUGACUGGGCGGGUGCUCAAGUUAAAAAGGGGCACAUUAAACCAGGCUGAAUAACAACAACACACAUUCAUCAAGAAUCUAAUAUGAGAUCGCAUCAUACUAUAUCAGUGUUGUGAGGUGGCGAUAAGGCAAAGCAAAUAUAGCCUAUGUUUUACCUGGUGGGGUAAAAUGUUGCUGUUGAGGGGUUUCUGCUGCUCCCGCUGCUGAUAGUGCUGGAGGGCAGGGCUGUGUUGAUCUGGGACUGUAGACAGGAAAACGUCCAUAGGAGAGAUGGUCGCUGAUUAAACAAGUGUUAUGAGAUAAUAACAAAAUGCAAAGACUGGGGAAAGCGCUUGGAACCAUAAGGCAACAAAAACUGUGGUAAAUAAACUAGGCUCUGCCUGUGAAUCACUCUUUGCCUCUCUUCCUCCUCCCAUCUCCUCAUCUCAUCUAUCACUCUCCACUUGCUGUCCAUCUGAGAACAAGGCGCAAUUUGCUAUUGCAAUAAACUAUUAUUUAAUUAUCCACACUUAACAACUCUUGCACUUAAUCUAUAA
rnacentral:lncRNA from 1 species